rnacentral:lncRNA from 1 species
CUCAGACAGUCUGUUUAAACGGACAGAAGUCCUAGCAGGUGACUGUCAUUGCUGGUGGAGUUAUUGGCUUUCUCUUUGCAAUUUUUCUUAUCCUGCUGUUGGUGUAUCGCAUGAGAAAGAAGGAUGAAGGAAGCUAUGACCUUGGAGAACGCAAACCAUCCAGUGCUGCUUAUCAGAAGGCACCUACUAAGGAGUUUUAUGCGUAAAACUCCAACUUAGUGUCUCUAUUUAUGAGAUCACUGAACUUUUCAAAAUAAAGCUUUUGCAUAGAAUAAUGAAGAUCUUUGUUUUUUGUUUUCAUUAAAGAGCCAUUCUGGCACUUUAAUGAUAAAAUCCCAUUGUAUUUAAAACAUUUCAUGUAUUUCUUUAGAACAACAUAAAAUUAAAAUUUAACAUCUGCAGUGUUCUGUGAAUAGCAGUGGCAAAAUAUUAUGUUAUGAAAACCCUCGAUGUUCAUGGAAUUGGUUUAAACUUUUAUGCGCAAAUACAAAAUGAUUGUCUUUUUCCUAUGACUCAAAGAUGAAAGCUGUUUCAUUUGUGUCAGCAUGUCUCAGAUUGACCUUACCAAGUUGGUCUUACUUUGUUAAUUUAUCUGUUGUCCCCUUCCUCUCCUCUGCCCUCCCUUCUUGUGCCCUUAAAACCAAACCCUAUGCCUUUUGUAGCUGUCAUGGUGCAAUUUGUCUUUGGAAAAUUCAGAUAAUGGUAAUUUAGUGUAUAUGUGAUUUUCAAAUAUGUAAACUUUAACUUCCACUUUGUAUAAAUUUUUAAGUGUCAGACUAUCCAUUUUACACUUGCUUUAUUUUUCAUUACCUGUAGCUUUGGGCAGAUUUGCAACAGCAAAUUAAUGUGUAAAAUUGGAUUAUUACUACAAAACCGUUUAGUCAUAUCUAUCUAAUCAGAUCUUCUUUUGGGAGGAUUUGAUGUAAGUUACUGACAAGCCUCAGCAAACCCAAAGAUGUUAACAGUAUUUUAAGAAGUUGCUGCAGAUUCCUUUGGCCACUGUAUUUGUUAAUUUCUUGCAAUUUGAAGGUACGAGUAGAGGUUUAAAGAAAAAUCAGUUUUUGUUCUUAAAAAUGCAUUUAAGUUGUAAACGUCUUUUUAAGCCUUUGAAGUGCCUCUGAUUCUAUGUAACUUGUU